UACGUAGGGGGCAAGCGUUUGUCCGGAUUUAUUGGGCGUAAAGAGCGUGUAGGCGGCUUUACAGGUCCGUUGUGAAAACUCGAGGCUCAACCUCGAGACGCCGGUGGAAACCGUAAAGCUAGAGUCCGGAAGAGGAGAGUGGAAUUCCUGGUGUAGCGGUGAAAUGCGCAGAUAUCAGGAGGAACACCCGUGGCGAAAGCGGCUCUCUGGGACGGUACUGACGCUGAGACGCGAAAGCGUGGGGGAGCAAACAGG
rnacentral:rRNA from 1 species